rfam:Mustela putorius furo unplaced genomic scaffold scaffold00119, whole genome shotgun sequence.
GUCUACGGCCAUACCACCCUGAACGCGCCCAAUCUCGUCUGAUCUCGGAAGCUAAGCAGGGUCGGGUCUGGUUAGUACUUGGAUGGGACGCCUACAAAUUUGGUUUACCUCUUCC